GUAACCAUAAUCACUUCUCUGUAUCUACGAGGUUUUUGUUUUGUUUUCUUGUUUUGUUUGUUCAGACUUCACUUAUGGGUAAAAUCACACGGUAUUUUUCUUUAUCCAUCAGACUUACUUGACUUAGCAUAAUACCCUCCUGGUCCAUCCGUGUUGUUGCAGAUGGCAAGAUUUCAUCCUUUUUUAUGGCUGAGUAGUAUCCCAUUGUAUAUAUAGAUCACAUCUUUAUCCGUGCAUCCACGGAUGGACACUUAGGUUGUCUUCAUGUCUUGGCUAUGGUACAUAAUGCUGCAAUGAACAUAGAGGUGCAUAUAUCUUUUCAAAUUAGUGUUUUCAUGUUCUUUGGAUAAAUACCCAGAAGUGGAAAAGGUGAAUCAUAUGGUGUUUCUGUUUUUAAUUUUUUGAGGAAUCUCCAUAAUCUUUUGCAUGACGGCUGCAUCAAUUUUCAUUCCCACCAAGAAUGCAGAAGGGUUCCCUUAUCUCUACAUCAUUUCCAGCACUUAUUAUUUCUUAUCUUCUUCAUAAUAGCCAUUCUAACAGGUAUGCGGUGAUAUCUCAUUGUGGUUUUGAUUUACAUUUCCCUAAUAAUUAGUGAUGUUGAACAUCUCUUCAUGAGCCUGUUGGCCAUCUUUAUGUCUUCUUUAGAAAAACGUCUAUUCAGGUCCUCUGCCCAAUUUUUAAAUCAGGUUGCUUAUUUUUUUUUAUUGAGUUGUGUGAGUUCUUUAUAUAUUUUAGAUACUGACUCCUUGUCAAGUAUAUUAUUUGCGAAUAUCUUCUCCCAUUCUGGAGGUUGCCUUUUCAUUUCUGUGAUGGUUUCCUUCACUGUGCAGGAGCUUUCCAGUUUGGUGUGGUCCCAUUUGUUUAUUUUGCUUUUGCUUCCCUUGCCUUUGGAGUGAGAGCCACAAAGAUAUCACUAAGAGCGAUUCAAGGAGCUUACCUCCUAUGUUUUCUUCUAGGAAUUUUACGGCUUAAGGUCCUACAAAAAAGUCUUUAAUCCAUUUUGAGUUAAUUUUUGUGUAUGGUGUAAUACAGUGGCCCAGUUUUAUUGUUUCUCAAGUGACUUUCCAGUUUUCCCAACAACAUUUAUAGAAGAGAGUGUCAUUUCUUGAUUGUAUGUUCUUGGUUCCUUUGUGGCAAAUUAAUUGUCCAUAUAUGUGUGGGUUGAGUUCUUGGUUCCCAAUUCUGUCCCAUUGAUUGAUUAUGUGUGCCUGUUAUUAUGCCAGUAUCAUACUGUUUUGAUUACUAUAGCUUUGCAGUAUAGUUUGAAAUAAGUGAGUGUACUACCUCCAACUUUGUCCUUCUUUCUCAAGAUUGUGUUGGCUAUUUGGAACCUUUUAUGGUUCCAUACCAAUUUUAGAAUUGUGUGUUCUAGUUCUGUGAAAAAUGGCAUCAGAAUUUUGAUUGAGAUUGCAUUGAAUCUGCAGAUUGCUUUGGGUAAUAUGGACAUUUUAACAAUAUUAAUUCUUCCAAUCCGUGAGCACAGAAUAUCUUUCCAUUUAUUUGUGUCUUCUUCAGUUUCUUUCAUCAGUGUCUUAUAGUUUUGAGUGUACAAAUUUUUCACCUCCUUGGUUAAAUUUAUUCCAAGGUAUUUUAUUCUUUUUGAUGCAAUUGUAAGUGGGAUUGUUUUCUUUGUUUCUCUCUCAGAAUGUUCAUUAUCCAUCUAUAGAAAUGUAACUGGGUUUUGUAUAUUGAGUUCAUAUCUUGCAACUUUAUUGAAUUUGUUUAGUAGUUCUAACAGUUGUUGGGAGGAGCCUUUAGGGCAUUCUGUACAUAAUAUCAUGUCAUCUUUAAAUCAAAUUUUACUUCUUCCUUUCCAAUUUGGAUAACUUUCAUUUCUUUUUCUACCUAAUUGCUUUGGCUAGGACUUCUAACACUACAUUGUUUAAAAGCGGUGAGAAUCAGCAUCCUUGUCCUGUUCCUGAUCUUAGAGGAAAAGCUUUCAGCUUUCCACCAUUGAGUAUGAUGUUAGCUGUGGUUUAAGGUGUUGAGGUUGCUUCCUGUAUACCCACUUUGUUGAGAGUUUUUAUUAUGAAUGGCUGUUGAAUUUUGUCAAAUGCUUUUCCUGCAUUUAUUGAGAUGAUCAUAUGAUUUUUAUCCUUCAUUUUGUUAACAUGGUGU
rnacentral:lncRNA from 1 species